UGGAUCUGUGAUGACGACUCGUGGCAUAUGAGUCACAGACGAUGAAUACAUGUCUGAAACUCUGAGGUCCAA
ensembl:snoRNA